rnacentral:rRNA from 1 species
GAUAAACGCUAGCGGCAGGCUUAACACAUGCAAGUCGAGGGGCAGCAUAGAUUGUAGCAAUACAAUUGGUGGCGACCGGCGCACGGGUGCGUAACGCGUAUGCAACCUACCCGUCACAGGGGGAUAAUCCGGAGAAAUCUGGUCUAAUACCCCAUAACAUAUGGAUCGGCAUCGGUUCAUGUUGAAAUUUUCGGAGGUGACGGAUGGGCAUGCGUAGCAUUAGCUUGUUGGUGAGGUAACGGCUCACCAAGGCGACGAUGCUUAGGGGGACUGAGAGGGUUUCCCCCCAGACUGGUACUGAGAUACGGACCAGACUCCUACGGGAGGCAGCAGUGAGGAAUAUUGGUCAAUGGGCGCAAGCCUGAACCAGCCAUGCCGCGUGCAGGAUGACGGCUCUAUGAGUUGUAAACUGCUUUUGUACGAGGGUAAAGUGGGUUACGUGUAACCUUUUGAAAGUAUCGUACGAAUAAGGAUCGGCUAACUCCGUGCCAGCCGCCGCAGUAA